rnacentral:rRNA from 1 species
CAUGCCUAACACAUGCAAGGUCGAACGGAGUUUCUCAAAUGGAUCCCUUCGGGGUGAAGCUUUUGAAACUUAGUGGCGGACGGGUGAGUAACGCGUGGGUAACCUGCCCUUUUGUGGGGAACAACUUCGAGAAAUCGGAGCUAAUACCGCAUACACUUACGGAAUCGCAUGAUUCUGUAAGGAAAGAUGGCCUCUGAAUAUGCUAUCGCAAAAGGAUGGACCCGCGUCUGAUUAGCUAGUUGGUGAGGUAACGGCUCACCAAGGCAACGAUCAGUAGCCGGCCUGAGAGGGUGAACGGCCACAUUGGGACUGAGACACGGCCCAAACUCCUACGGGAGGCAGCAGUGGGGAAUCUUCCGCAAUGGGCGAAAGCCUGACGGAGCAAUGCCGCGUGAGUGAAGAAGGCCUUCGGGUUGUAAAACUCUGUCCUUAUUGAAGAGAGGUAGCAGUGUGAAUAAUGCUGUUAUAGGACGGUAAAUAAGGAGGAAGCCCCGGCUAACUACGUG